GCCGCGUCCCCCGGGGCGGGGGGGGGCACUUCGGGCGGCUUCUGUCAAGCGCUGCCGGAGAGCAGGCUCCCCGCUGCCCCCGGGGCACGGACACGGCCGGCCGCGAAACGGGGGGAGCCCGGGAGGCCCACGCAGGCCGGAGCGCCGGGAAGCCGGUCGUUGAACGAGCAGACCCCCCCAGGCUGGCUGUGGCCGUCAGCUGCUCGCUGAAUCCUGUACGAAAAAGUGCGUUAAAUGGUCUCAGGUGGUGGAGACGGCAUCUCUCGGGCCUGAGGGCAGCGUGUCUGGUUCCUGCACGGAGGGUGGUACACCCAAACUACACAGGGGACAAAGCUGCUGCUCCUUCACCUCUGGGAAUCCUUGGCACAGAGAGCUCCAGGUGUGAAAUACUGAUACUAGUUCAAAAAAAAAAAAACCCUCCACGACCCCGCUUGGGUAGCUGAAUGUCAGCGGUGGGCUGCUGCCUGUUCACGCGUGGGGCCCGUCCACCCCGCUGCAGCUCGUCACGGAGGGGAGCAGAGGGAAAGGUGACCCUGGUGCUGGCAGGGUGCCCUCGGUCAGCAGGGACGGGCUGCAGGAGGCGAUGGGACCGUGGAGAAAUGGACGGGAAGGAUUUUGUUUCCCCACAGAUUAUUUCACUGCUCGCAGCCAAGCAACAUUUUAUAAGCAGGCUAACGUCCCUCACUGACGCUUUCUCACCUGAGAUCACUUUAAUGACCAGUCAGCUUCGUAAGGUCCUGUGUCCAGAUUCUUCUCCUACCCCUCUGUUACUGCUGGAAUCAGGUAAAGUUAAGGCAAUUUUACCCUCGUGACAUUAUUUAGGAAAACAAGUAUUAUUGCAGCUCUGGUUGCGAUGCUAAUGUUCUGAGCACCAGAGCACUGCAUGCAACACAGCAGCUGUUAUAUAUUCAAGGGUGAAAUUUCAGUAAUGGUAUGCUAUAUAAUCUCUAGAUAAAUAUUUAUGCUUGUGAAGGUUAAGUGACUUGGAAUACUAUGAAGGCCAGCCUUUUGGGCAGGCCACUGCAAUUUAAGCCUUCUUGCAGUGACCUACCACUGACCUCUCCCGAUCUAGAAGCAGAGUGAUUGCUGGAGGUAAAAAUUCAGAGUGGAUCCUGAGGCCUCUGCUGAGCAGUAACAGGAGCAUGAAGGAGAUGGACCACAGCACUGGAAGCAGAGAGCCUAAUUGCAACAUGAGCAAAAGAAAACAAACUUAGCCCCUCCAAAACCAAAAUUAUUCCUAAAGCAAUAAACUGUUAAAGGAAAUACUGCAAAUACGACCAAUCAAAGGGCAAAAACCUAACACAGAAAGUGAAAUAAACUGAUGAGGUAAAGAAGAAACUCACUACGAUUUCCUCCAGGUUUGCAAUGUUUAAAACAAAUGAGCUGACAAGAUCCGGGACAACAAAAUACACUGCUAUCAUCACGCAUGCUGAGUGGAAGGCGCUUAACACAAGAUUACAACCAAAACUAAUUGUACUGUUACUUCAGAAAGUAUUUUGACAUUUGCAGCCAACUGAAGUCUAAUACACUGAGCUAAUGGAAACAGUGAGAACCAUCCCAUUUUUUCUUUUGCAUAUGACAAGGACUCAUUGUUUAGAAGUGAUAACUGGUGACUAUAGUGUAAUUUUGUGACAGCUGUGCAUUGCAUUGACACCAGAUCAUGAUUGGAUGAUAAGGAUCAAGUCAUG